UGGGGAAUAUUGGACAAUGGGCGAAAGCCUGAUCCAGCCAUGCCGCGUGUGUGAAGAAGGUCUUCGGAUUGUAAAGCACUUUAAGUUGGGAGGAAGGGCAGUUACCUAAUACGUGAUUGUUUUGACGUUACCGACAGAAUAAGCACCGGCUAACUCUGUGCCAGCAGCCGCGGUAAUACAGAGGGUGCAAGCGUUAAUCGGAAUUACUGGGCGUAAAGCGCGCGUAGGUGGUUUGUUAAGUUGGAUGUGAAAUCCCCGGGCUCAACCUGGGAACUGCAUUCAAAACUGACUGACUAGAGUAUGGUAGAGGGUGGUGGAAUUUCCUGUGUAGCGGUGAAAUGCGUAGAUAUAGGAAGGAACACCAGUGGCGAAGGCGACCACCUGGACUAAUACUGACACUGAGGUGCGAAAGCGUGGGGAGCAAACAGGAUUAGAUACCCACGUAGUCCCUGAGCGGGCUGGCAAGGCGCAU
rnacentral:rRNA from 1 species